UGGGGAAUUUUGGCCAAUGGGCGCAAGCCUGAUUCAGCCAUGCCGCGUGCGGGAAGAAGGCCUUCGGGUUGUAAACCGCUUUUGUCAGGGAAGAAAUCCUUUGAGCUAAUACCUCGGGGGGAUGACGGUACCUGAGGAAUAAGCACCGGCUAACUACGUGCCAGCAGCCGCGGUAAUACGUAGGGUGCAAGCGUUAAUCGGAAUUACUGGGCGUAAGGCGUGCGCAGGCGGUUAUAUAAGACAGUUGUGAAAUCCCCGGGCUCAACCUGGGAAUUGCAUCUGUGACUGUAUAGCUAGAGUACGGUAGAGGGGGAUGGAAUGCCGCGUGUAGCAGUGAAAUGCGUAGAUAUGCGGAGGAACACCGAUUGCGAAGGCAGCUCACAAAACUGUAACUGACACUGAGGCUCGAAAGUGCGGGGAUCAAACA
rnacentral:rRNA from 1 species